AAAUCAGAACUACAUGUAUACGUUUCAUCUGUCCUCCAAAAACCGCCAAGGGUACGUUUCUUGACCUACAAGUGAUUUAAAUCAUGAUAACUGGGAUAAAGAAGAGGAACCAGAAGACGCUGGAACCUUCAAAAGGGCUUCAGAGGAAGAAUUGAAGAAAAGGGUCAUAAAAACUGCAAGAAGAAAGAAACCUAUUGUGAAUGAGGAUGAUUCAAACAAAAAGAGUGCCUUUGCUAAUUUUACUGCCUUAUCAAAACCUCCAGUCCCACCCUCUUCAGCUUUUUCAUUUUUAUCAACAAUCACUAGUGGUAGUAAUAAUGAAAAAGAGGAAAAAGGCAAAUUAUCCGAUUCAGAGAAAAAGGAAACAGAUCAGCAUUUGAACAACAAGAACAAAGAUAACGAAACAAUUGAAAACUCUGAUGAUAAAAACAAUGAAGAAACUUGUGACAUGUUGAGUAAGGGUGUAAAAGGAAAUGAAAAUGAUGCUACAGAUGAUGAAGAUAGAACACUGGUCAAAAAUAUUGAAGAGAAUCUAAACAAACGAGCUGAUGUUGGUACAGUUGAAAAAAAUAAUAUGGGUGGAGGGGAAAUGGGUUCAAUGAAUUCAGGGGAAGGUGAUACAAAUGAAAACUCAGGCACACCUCUGCACAAAGACAGUGAUGCAGAUAAGCUGGUUUCUCAAGAAGGGUGUGACAAUCAAGAAUAAAACUGAUAGAGUGAGGGAAUCCAAAAUAUGAAGAUCUCAAAACGUAAAUAAUACCUAGACAUAUUGAUUUGGUUGUGUGUUCAGAAAAGUCCUGUAAUAUAUUUUUUCAAUCCCAUA
rnacentral:misc_RNA from 1 species